GGUUAAGCGACUAAGCGUACACGGUGGAUGCCCUGGCAGUCAGAGGCGAUGAAGGACGUGCUAAUCUGCGAUAAGCGUCGGUAAGGUGAUAUGAACCGUUAUAACCGACGAUUUCCGAAUGGGGAAACCCAGUGUGUUUCGACACACUAUCAUUAACUGAAUCCAUAGGUUAAUGAGGCGAACCGGGGGAACUGAAACAUCUAAGUACCCCGAGGAAAAGAAAUCAACCGAGAUUCCCCCAGUAGCGGCGAGCGAACGGGGAGCAGCCCAGAGCCUGAAUCAGUGUGUGUGUUAGUGGAAGCGUCUGGAAAGGCGCGCGAUACAGGGUGACAGCCCCGUACACAAAAAUACACAUACUGUGAGCUCGAUGAGUAGGGCGGGACACGUGGUAUCCUGUCUGAAUAUGGGGGGACCAUCCUCCAAGGCUAAAUACUCCUGACUGACCGAUAGUGAACCAGUACCGUGAGGGAAAGGCGAAAAGAACCCCGGCGAGGGGAGUGAAAAAGAACCUGAAACCGUGUACGUACAAGCAGUGGGAGCACGCUUAGG
rnacentral:rRNA from 1 species